AGUGAACGCUGGCGGUAGGCCUAACACAUGCAAGUCGAACGGCAGCACAGUAAGAGCUUGCUCUUACGGGUGGCGAGUGGCGGACGGGUGAUGAAUACAUCGGAAUCUACUUUUUCGUGGGGGAUAACGUAGGGAAACUUACGCUAAUACCGCAUACGACCUACGGGUGAAAUCAUGGGAUCUUCGGACCUUGCGCGAUUGAAUGAGCCGAUGUCGGAUUAGCUAGUUGGCGGGGUAAAGGCCCACCAAGGCGACGAUCCGUAGCUGGUCUGAGAGGAUGAUCAGCCACACUGGAACUGAGACACGGUCCAGACUCCUACGGGAGGCAGCAGUGGGGAAUAUUGGACAAUGGGCGAAAGCCUGAUCCAGCCAUACCGCGUGGGUGAAGAAGGCCUUCGGGUUGUAAAGCCCUUUUGUUGGGAAAGAAAAGCAGCAGGUUAAUACCCCGCUGUUCUGACGGUACCCAAAGAAUAAGCACCGGCUAACUUCGUG
rnacentral:rRNA from 1 species